rnacentral:rRNA from 1 species
GAUGAACGCUGGCGGCGUGCUUAACACAUGCAAGUCGAACGAGAAGUGAAGACGGAAACCUUCGGGCGGAAGGCUUUAUUUCGAGUGGCGGACGGGUGAGUAACGCGUGGGUAACCUGCCUCAUACAGGGGGAUAACAGUUGGACACGACUGUUAAUACCGCAUAAGACUACAGCACCGCAUGGUGCGGGGGUAAAAACUCCGGUGGUAUGAGAUGGACCCGCGUUCGAUUAGCCAGUUGGCGGGGUAACGGCCCACCAAAGCGACGAUCGAUAGCCGAUCUGAGAGGAUGACCGGCCACGUUGGGACUGAGACACGGCCCAAACUCCUACGGGAGGCAGCAGUGGGGAAUAUUGCACAAUGGGGGAAGACCUGGUGCAGCGACGCCGCGUGAGUGAAGAAGUAUGUCGGUAUGUAAAGCUCUAUCAGCAGGGAAGAAAAUGACGGUACCUGAGGAAGAAGCCCCGGCUAACUACGUG